rnacentral:lncRNA from 1 species
CGCGGCUGCUGCUGCCAGAGCGUUAAGCUUAAACGUAAUCCCGCUGGUUUUUCUUAUGCUUAGAGUAAAAGCUUUUCUUUUACUGAGAUGUAMUAGUUUUGCCGAUGCUCUUAAAAAUGGCUUUACAAGUUUACAGAGAUUAGAAAUACAUUUUUCUGGCAUCAAAAAUGGGGCUGUCGUUUAAUUUAAAAAGAAGAUGCAAACGAGCUGUUAAACCCGGUUAGCAAGCGCUUACAGCUUCUAGACCAGGGUGUCAAAGUUACAGCCGUGAGCUAGACACCUGCCAGGAGAAUUCACAUGGUCCGASGUCCACUGCCCACCCGCAGCAGUCUUUCAGGAGUUUCGUCUUUGAUUAGCUUGCUGUUACCUGGCAUCAGAACUGAUCAAGGAGUACUUCCCUGGGCACUCCAGAUCUUUUGGGCCACAUGAGGGAAAAUAAAGACAAGCAAGGACUCUUUAAGAGCAGACUGAUUUCAUUCCAGGAGGCAGGACCAGAAGAAGGUGAGCAAGGUCUGGCCGUGACCCUCAGCAACAAAUAUCAAGGGAUCACAAUAUGCAAAGGAUCACAGGGUUUGGCCUCAGUGGAAGGGCGUGAGCUUUGUGGAUGCCCAGGACUGUACAGAUUACCACACUCUGUAUCUCGUCAAAUCUAUGCUGACAUUCAUAGUCUGAAAAAAUAGACCAUUGUGUGCUACAAGACUGACAAGAAAUAUGUCAAUAAAUAAAUCCAGGAAGUCA